rnacentral:rRNA from 1 species
ACCCAGACUCCUACGGGAGGCAGCAGUGGGGAAUAUUGCACAAUGGGGGAAACCCUGAUGCAGCGACGCCGCGUGAGCGAUGAAGUAUUUCGGUAUGUAAAGCUCUAUCAGCAGGGAAGAAGAUGACGGUACCUGACUAAGAAGCCCCGGCUAACUACGUGCCAGCAGCCGCGGUAAUACGUAGGGGGCAAGCGUUAUCCGGAUUUACUGGGUGUAAAGGGAGCGUAGACGGCGGCGCAAGCCAGAUGUGAAAGCCCGGGGCUCAACUCCGGGACUGCAUUUGGAACUGUGUGGCUGGAGUGUCGGAGAGGCAGGCGGAAUUCCUGGUGUAGCGGUGAAAUGCGUAGAUAUUAGGAGGAACACCAGUGGCGAAGGCGGCCUGCUGGACGAUGACUGACGUUGAGGCUCGAAAGCGUGGGGAGCAAACAGGAUUAGAUACCCGAGUACU